rnacentral:rRNA from 1 species
UACGUAGGGUGCAAGCGUUAAUCGGAAUUACUGGGCGUAAAGCGUGCGCAGGCGGUGAUGUAAGGCAGUUGUGAAAUCCCCGGGCUCAACCUGGGAACUGCAUCUGUGACUGCAUCGCUGGAGUGCGGCAGAGGGGGAUGGAAUUCCGCGUGUAGCAGUGAAAUGCGUAGAUAUGCGGAGGAACACCGAUGGCGAAGGCAAUCCCCUGGGCCUGCACUGACGCUCAUGCACGAAAGCGUGGGGAGCAAACGGG